AGCCUACCCUAGCCCAACCACGACCAUUAAACCUAGACAGCCAAAAUCCACUCCCCCACUUAGACUAAAACAUUCUUCUAACCUAGUAUAGGCGAUAGAAAAGUCCCCACUUGGCGCCAUAGGGAUACCGUACCGUAAGGGAAAGAUGAAAUAAUAGUGAAAAUCGAGCAAUACACAGCAAAGAUAAACCCUUGUACCUUUCGCAUCAUGGUCUAGCAAGAAUAACCAAGCAAAGUGAACUUAAGCUUGCCACCCCGAAACCCAAGCGAGCUACUUGCAAGCAGCUGCCCCCGAGCGAACCCGUCUCUGUCGCAAAAGAGUGGGAUGACUUGCUAGUAGAAGUGAAAAGCCAACCGAGCUGGGUGAUAGCUGGUUGCCUGUGAAACGAAUCUCAGUUCUUCCUUGAUCCCUUUCCCCCCGGAACCCUUAGCCCAACCUCCAUGUAACAAAUCAAGAGUAACUUAAAGGGGGUACAGCUCCUUUAAAACAGAAAACAAUCUCCACUAGCGGAUACACUCAACAUUUCAAAACUUAUACCUAAAACCUGUAGGCCCUCAAGCAGCCACCAACAAAGAGUGCGUCAAAGCUCCUCCCCAAAAAAUCCAAAAAUAAUGUCACUCCCUCCCCACCAACAGGCUAACCUAUAACAAUAGGAGAGUCAAUGCUAGAAUGAGUAACUAGGGAACAUCCCUCUUAAGCGCAAACUUACAUUCUUCCAUUAUUAACAAGAUUCCAAUCAAUGUCCCAAUUUCAACAAGACCUUACAUUAAACCCGCCUUGUUAGCCCAACAUCAGGAGCGCCCAACUAGAAAGAUUAAAACCUGUAAAAGGAACUAGGCAAAUUUGAGGCCCGACUGUUUACCAAAAACAUAGCCUUCAGCAACCCAAGUAUUGAAGGUGAUGCCUGCCCAGUGACCCUACGUUUAACGGCCGCGGUAUCCUAACCGUGCAAAGGUAGCGCAAUCAAUUGUCCCAUAAAUCGAGACUUGUAUGAAUGGCUAAACGAGGUCUCAACUGUCUCCUACAGGUAAUCAGUGAAAUUGAUCUUCCCGUGCAAAAGCAGGAAUAUGCUCAUAAGACGAGAAGACCCUGUGGAACUUAAAAAUCAACGGCCACUUGACUACUUUCAUCCAAACCUACCAGGCUCACAUUCUAACAAACACUGGCUCGUAUUUUUCGGUUGGGGCGACCUUGGAGAAGAACAAAUCCUCCAAAAACAAGAACAACCCUCUUAACCAAGAACAACCCCUCAACGUACUAAUAGUAACCAGACCCAAUAUAAUUGAUCAAUGAACCAAGCUACCCCAGGGAUAACAGCGCAAUCUCCCCCAAGAGCCCGUAUCGACGGGGAGGUUUACGACCUCGAUGUUGGAUCAGGACAUCCUAAUGGUGCAGCCGCUAUUAAGGGUUCGUUUGUUCAACGAUUAAUAGUCCUACGUGAUCUGAGUUCAGACCGGAGCAAUCCAGGUCGGUUUCUAUCUAUGACACACUUUUCCCAGUACGAAAGGACCGGAAAAGUGGGGCCAAUAUUACAAACACGCCCCCACCCCAAACAGUGCACCCAACUAAACUGUGAAGGGCACCCCACCCCCCGCCCCAGACAAAGGGCC
rnacentral:rRNA from 1 species